rnacentral:rRNA from 1 species
GAUGAACGCUGGCGGCGUGCCUAAUACAUGCAAGUCGAGCGAACAGACGAGGAGCUUGCUCCUCUGACGUUAGCGGCGGACGGGUGAGUAACACGUGGAUAACCUACCUAUAAGGCUGGGAUAACUUCGGGAAACCGGAGCUAAUACCGGAUAAUAUAUUGAACCGCAUGGUUCAAUAGUGAAAGACGGUUUUGCUGUCACUUAUAGAUGGAUCCGCGCCGCAUUAGCUAGUUGGUAAGGUAACGGCUUACCAAGGCAACGAUGCGUAGCCGACCUGAGAGGGUGAUCGGCCACACUGGAACUGAGACACGGUCCAGACUCCUACGGGAGGCAGCAGUAGGGAAUCUUCCGCAAUGGGCGAAAGCUUGACGGAGCAACGCCGCGUGAGUGGUGAAGGUCUUCGGAUCGUAAAACUCUGUUAUUAGGGAAGAACAAAUGUGUAAGUAACUAUGCACGUCUUGACGGUACCUAAUCAGAAAGCCACGGCUAACUACGUG